UACAGAGGGUGCAAGCGUUGUUCGGAAUUAUUGGGCGUAAAGGGCGCGUAGGCGGUGCCACAAGUCACCUGUGAAAUCCCCGGGCUCAACCUGGGAACUGCAUUUGUGACUGUAGAGCUGGAGUGCGGCAGAGGGGGAUGGAAUUCCGCGUGUAGCAGUGAAAUGCGUAGAUAUGCGGAGGAACACCGAUGGCGAAGGCAAUCCCCUGGGCCUGCACUGACGCUCAUGCACGAAAGCGUGGGGAGCAAACAGG
rnacentral:rRNA from 1 species